rnacentral:rRNA from 1 species
CGAAGUGAGUGGCGAACGGGUGAGUAACACGUGGGUAACCUGCCCAGAAGUAGGGGAUAACACCUGGAAACAGAUGCUAAUACCGUAUAACAGAGAAAACCGCAUGGUUUUCUUUUAAAAGAUGGCUCUGCUAUCACUUCUGGAUGGACCCGCGGCGUAUUAGCUAGUUGGUGAGGUAAAGGCUCACCAAGGCAGUGAUACGUAGCCGACCUGAGAGGGUAAUCGGCCACAUUGGGACUGAGACACGGCCCAGACUCCUACGGGAGGCAGCAGUAGGGAAUCUUCCACAAUGGACGCAAGUCUGAUGGAGCAACGCCGCGUGAGUGAAGAAGGGUUUCGGCUCGUAAAGCUCUGUUGUUAAAGAAGAACGUGGGUAAGAGUAACUGUUUACCCAGUGACGGUAUUUAACCAGAAAGCCACGGCUAACUACGUGCCAGCAGCCGCGGUAA